rnacentral:lncRNA from 1 species
AAUUAUAGCGGUAGAUCUUCCUUUAAUCUUUCAUUCUUCGCGUCAAAAUACUUCCGCUCUCAAGACACCCCCGAAAAUCAUGGCACCAGAGUAAAUUAACAUGAAAAUCCAGUCUUUGAAGGUAAUCAACAGAAAAAAAUGCAGCAAAAAAAAUGCAACAAGUGAAAACAUUGAGAACAAUACAGCAAGUCGUGGAACUUCAUUCUGAACAAUUCUCGCCAGGUUCUUCUUUCUCCAUUAACUUGGUUCCUUAGAAGUUAGAUACUUUUUUGUGUAUUUCUUGUUGUGGCAAUUGUCGAGUAAAAAGUUGUACACCAUGUGUUUGUGGAAUUUACCAACUGAACUUUUUGGUGUGGGAAGAAUGGACUUCGAUAUUGGAAUUUUUUAUCUGAAUCUUUUGGUGUGGAAUUUCAAAAUUUCACUAUUCUGUUCUUUGGUCUACUAGAUUUUGACUUGAAAGAGAGUAAAUUUAAAAGUUUAUCAUUUUAACUUAUAUAUAAAAUCAGAUUUGAUUAUCUUAUGAGUCAAGGUUAAUCGAUCGUCAAACUAGUAUAUUAUUAUGCACUAUUCUCUAAGCUUGCUGAAUUGUAUCAAUCAAAUAAAAAAUUGGGGAUUUGCAAGGACUAUGUUUCAUAAUUACUUUAUAAAUCAAGUGUUAAGCAAAAUCUACUACGAAGUAAGUGCUGACUUAUGACAUGUGUUUUACUUUCUCCCGUUUAAUAGUAGAUUUAUGGAGAUCCCAUCUCAAAAUAAAUAUAUGGAUGUUUCUCAUUUAUUUGAGUCAAUAAAAAUUGGGAUAGAAUUUGAUUCAGAAGAGUAUGCAUAUGAAUAUUACAACAAACAUAUUGCUACAAUUGGGUUUAGUGUUAGAAAGGAAUAUGCAAACAAAAGUAAAGUCCAUGGAUAUGUGACUUCGAGAAAAUUUACAUGUUAUAAAGAAGGUUAUAGAGGAAGAGACAAGCGAGAUGCGAUGGUCAAGAAACCUAUAAAGGAAACUAGGACAGGUUGUUUAGCUCACAUGGUCGUAAGUUGUCAAUCAAAUAAAAAGUUUUCUGUCAUUUUAUUUGAAGAGAAGCACAAUCAUCCUCUCAUUCCUCCAUUUCUAGCUCACAUGUUGCCCUCGCAAAGAAAUAUUAAAAAUUUUUAAGCAUAUGAAAUUGAUUUAUUGGAUGAUUCAGGAAUAUGUCCUAAAUCAUCUUUUGACUAUACUUCUCGUUUAGCUGGGGGAAAAGCUUCUUUAGGUUAUACAAAGAGAGAUCACUUAAACUAUCUUCGUGACAAAAGAAAAGAAAGUCUAAAACAAGGAGUGGAUCGUAGUUUGGUAGAUUAUUUUGAAAAAAGAAUAAUAAAAGAUCCAUCUUUUCGGUUUUCUUUACAAUUGGAUGAUGAUGGUUUGAUAACAAAUAUUUUCUGGGCUGAUGCUAAAAUGAUAAGAGAUUUUCAAAUUUAUGGAGAUGUUGUAUCAUUUGACACAACAUAUAGAACAAAUAAGGAGUAUCGGCCAUUGGCUUUGUUUGUUGGGUUAAAUAAUCACAGGAAAAUCGUUGUAUUUGGUGCUGCCCUAUUAUAUGAAGAAACAACUGAAGCGUUCGAAUGGCUUUUUACUAUAUUUUUUAGAGCUAUGUCCGCACAUAAGCCAAAAACAUUCAUCACAUAUCACGAUCCCGCAAUAUAUUUAGCAGUCUCAUUAGUGAUGCCAUAAACAUAUCAUCGUCUAUGUAUAUGGCACUUGGAAUAAAAUGCAUUUAAAAAUCUUAACCAUAUCUUUAGAGCUCAUAAAUCAUUUCCGAGUGAUUUUAGCAAAUUGCUUUAUUAUUACGAGUACGAAGAUUUUCUAAAUGCAUGGGAGGAAAUGCUUAAGAAGUACGACCUUAAGGAUAAUAGUUGGUUGAAAAACACCUUUUAUAUAAGGAAAAAGUGGUCCAUGACAUAUGAUAGAAAUGUAUUUUCGGCAGGUAUGCGAAGUACACAAUUGAGUAAAAGUUUUAAUGGAUCACUAAGGAGCUACUUCAAAUCCGAUUUAGAUAUUGUACAGUUCUUUAAGCAUUUUCAAAAAGCUGUUGAUGAUAAGUGUACUAAUGAAAGCAAGUUGAAUUUUGACAUGACCCAACGAAUAUCUGUCUUGAAGGUUAAGCUUCCUUUAUUGAUAUAAGCAAGAGAAAUAUAUACUGCAACCAUAUUUGAUUUGUUCGAAAAGAAGUGGGAAAAGUCAUUACUUGUCUCUAUAAAUGACUUUCAUGAUGAAGGAGAAUUUCUUAAAUACAUUGUUAGCAUGCAUGGAAGUUGCAUGGAGCAUGUAGUACUAGUGAAGUGCUCAACAGAGAUAAUCUCUUGCAGUUGCAAAUUGUUCGAAUUUUCAGGUGUACUAUGUGGACAUGCUCUAAAGAUUCUGGACACGUUAAAUGUCAAGGAUAAGAUUCCUGACCAUUACAUAAACGGAAAAGGUCCAGAAUUGCCCCUUUACUAUGGUAUAUUGUUUACUUCUUUCACCCGUUAUACUUUUUGUCCAAAUUUAUCCCUACCGUUAAUAAAGUUUGCAUAAUUGCCCCUAACCCUAACGGAUCUACACGUGGCAGCUGACCCCUUCAAUUUUCUCCAUGCCAGCUGCCAAGUCAGAGUCCAUGUCACUAUUUAAAAAUAUAUUUUAUUUAUUACACUUAUUUACUAAAUCAGCAAAUUAAAAAAAAUCCCCAAAAAGUUUGAUUCUUCUUCUUCCCCGAUGUUUCUUCAUCUUUGCUUCAAAUAUUUCGAUCCAAACAAAAUUUUUAACCAAACAGACUCAGAUCAUCCAUAACUUCUCCACAUGAAUAUUCUCAACAAACUCCAAAAAUACUUAGCUCAAACUUCAGCAAAUCAGAAUACCCAUCUUAUGUUUUUGAGCUCUCUUACAGCUCCUUCAAUGGUGAUUUCAGCAGGUCCCACACACUGCCAGUUUUGGACUCCAUAUAACUAUUAAGACGAUCCAAUUAGUUUGAAAUUAAUACAUUAAACUAUUAAAAUCGAACUUCCCCACCACUACUUUCCAGAUCUAAAUCUCAAAUCUCUUUCCAAUCAAAAUCCAGAAUCUUCUUCUAUGGCGGGAACUCUGUACGGAUUGGUGUUCUUAGCAGCGCCAAGAACUUGCUUCAUCUUCCUCUACCUCCUUCUUCAACCUAUCUUCAACUUCACCGCCUAAUACGGCGGCGCCGCUAUGAACCGACCCCGAUUUGGACCGGUCGCAGAUGAGUCGACGAACCGGAAAUAUUUUUUACCUCCAUCGCCGCCUUCUGCUUCCAAAUCCUUACACGACGGCAACACGUAAUUCCGGCGGGUCGGUUCGUAGAGUAAUACAAAUAUGUUGAAUGUAUAGCGUUUAUAUUUGAAAAAAAAACAGAGAUAUUGCUUUUUAUUUUAGAUUCUGCUUUUUAUUUUGAUGGAUCUGGAUUUGAGUUGUGUGAUCUCGUUUGUUUAAGUUGACCUGCUUGAAAAUAGCUUAGUUAUAUUGCAGAUUACUUUUGACCCUUAAUUCAAAUGCAGAAUAUUAGAGGGGUUGGGUGACCUGCUGACUUGGCAGCUGACAUGGAGAAAAUUAAGGGGGUCAGGUGCCACGUGUAGAUCUGUUAGGGUUAGGGACAAUUAUGCAAACUUUGUUAAAGGUAAAGAUAUAUUUGGACGAAAAGUAUAACGGGUGACAGAAGUAAACAAUAUACCAUAGUAGAGGGCAAUUUUGGACCUUUUUUCUUAUAUAUAUAUAUAUAUAUAUAUUAAAAAGGUGGACAAAAGAUGUUACCAACUUGGUUGCAAUGGAGAUUAAAGUGUUUAUUGAGGGAAGUGAUCCAAAAGUUGAAGUUAGUACAAGGUAUAGACAUUUAUGCCAAACUCUUGUCCAAAUUGCAAGUGAAGCUUCAGAAUCCAAAGAAGGAUAUGAGUUGGUUGCACAGUAUUCCAACGAGAUAAUUGCAAAGUUGAAGGAAGUAAAAAUAAAAAUGUAUCUCAUGAAAGUCCAUCAGUUCCAAGCGAGGUUCUCCAUGAUAAGACAAUAUUUGUUGAUAGUGCAAAUGUCACAAAGGUAGUUAGGUUAAAGAAGAAUCAACCAACUCGUCGCUCCAAUACUCGACCAAAGAGUUUUGUGGAAAAGACCAAGAAGAAUAAGAUUCAAUCACCAGUUUCUCCUCCAUUGCGAACUGUCCAGCAUGUAAGUCACCUUGCAGGCCUCCAAGCACCAUACACUUUCAAGUCAAAAUCUAAUAGACCAAAGAACAGAAUAGUGAAAUUUUGAAAUUCCACACCAAAAGAUUCAGUUAAAAAAUUCUAAUAUCAAAGUCCAUUCUUCCCACACCAAAAAGUUUAGUUGGUAAACUCCACAAACACAUGAUGUACAACUUUUUACUCGACAAUUGCUACAACAAGAAAUGAACAAAAAAAUAUCUAACUUCUAAGGAAUCAAGUUAAUGGAGAAAGAAGAACCUGGCGAGAAUUGUUCAGAAUGAAGUUCCACUACUUGCUGUAUUGUUCUCAAUGUUUUCACUUGAUGCAUUUUUUUGCUGCAUUUUUUUCUGUUGAUUACCUUCAAAGACUGAAUUUUCAUGGUAAUUUUCUCUGGUGCCAUGAUUUUCGGGGGUGUCUUGAGAGCAGAUGUAUUUUGGCGCGGAGAGGGAAAGAUUAUAGGAAGAUCUACCGCUAUAAUUGUAGGAUUGUAAAAGAUAUUUGGGAAUAAAUAAAAGAAGCAAUUAAAAACUUUAACUAUGGUUAGGAAUUUAUUUUAUUCAAUUAAAUUUUAUUCAUUGAUUAUUAACCAUGAUAAGUGUCUCCCAUCCAAGUAGGAACUCGGAGAAAUGGAGAGACUAGAAAAUUGAGGGGAGUUGGAUCUUUGAUAUAUGAUAUGACUUUUUCUUUCCUUUUUGUUCAUCUUGCAGGCUAAAAUAUUUUGGUACGACCCACUGUCAUGUUCCCUGUUGCUGACCAAGGCAAUUAUUAUAAGUACUAUAUGUAAUUCUUAAUGUAAGCUAAAAUCUUGUAGCGAUUCAACAUCAAUUGCGAUAAACAAAUAAAAAUACAAUUAGCACGUUAUCCCCUUCUUGCAU